rnacentral:rRNA from 1 species
ACUCCUACGGGAGGCAGCAGUGGGGAAUAUUGCACAAUGGGCGCAAGCCUGAUGCAGCAACGCCGCGUGAGCGAUGAAGGCCUUCGGGUCGUAAAGCUCUGUCCUCAAGGAAGAAUAAAUGACGGUACUUGAGGAGGAAGCCCCGGCUAACUACGUGCCAGCAGCCGCGGUAAUACGUAGGGGGCAAGCGUUAUCCGGAAUCACUGGGCGUAAAGGGUGCGUAGGCGGUUUUUCAAGUCAGAAGUGAAAGGCUAUGGCUCAACCAUAGUAAGCUUUUGAAACUGUUAAACUUGAGUGCAGGAGAGGAAAGUGGAAUUCCUAGUGUAGAGGUGAAAUUCGUAGAUAUUAGGAGGAACACCAGUGGCGAAGGCGACUUUCUGGACUGUAACUGACGCUGAGGCACGAAAGCGUGGGGAGCGGAACAGGAUUAGAUACCCUGGUAGCACAGAG